rnacentral:rRNA from 1 species
GAUGAACGCUGGCGGCGUGCAUAACACAUUCAAGUCGAACGGAGUUCAUUGACUUAAUUUUUCGGAGAGCGGUCGAUGAACUUAGUGGCGGACGGGUGAGUAACGCGUGAGCAACCUGCCCUUAUGUGGGGAACAACAGCUGGAAACGGCUGCUAAUACCGCAUAACCCAAUAGUACGGCAUCGUACAGUUGGCAAAGAUUUAUCGCAUAAGGAUGGGCUCGCGUCUGAUUAGCUAGUUGGUAAGGUAACGGCUUACCAAGGCAACGAUCAGUAGCCGGACUGAGAGGUUGAACGGCCACAUUGGAACUGAGAAACGGUCCAG